rnacentral:rRNA from 1 species
CUCCUAUAUUUAAUUAUAUAGGUAGAGCCUGCUCACUGAUUUUAAGAGCCGCAGUAUCCUGACUGUGCUAAGGUAGCAUAAUAAUUAGUUAUUUGAUUGGUAACUUGAAUGAAAGGUUUGACGAAAAGAAAAUCUUCUUUCUGCGAAAAUGAAAUUGAUAAAUAAAUAAAAAAGUUUAUUUCGACUAGAAAGACGAUAAGACCCUAAAACCUUUACUACUUAAACUUUACAAAGUUUUUUACUGGGGCGGUAGAUUAUAUUAGCAUAAUCUUAUUGAACAUAAUGAAUGAAAUCUUGAAUAACUUAUCAGAAUUCCAAAGAGGUACUUUAGGGAUAACAGCAUAAUUUUUAUUAAGAGUAAACCUAUCGACAUAAAAGAUUAUGACCUCGAUGUUGAAUUGAUAAUACUUUACUAAGCAAAAAUAGUAACAGCAGGUCUGUUCGACCUUU